rnacentral:rRNA from 1 species
UACGUAGGGACCGAGCGUUGUUCGGAUUCAUUGGGCGUAAAGGGUGCGUAGGCGGCGCGGUAAGUCGAGUGUGAAAUCUCGGAGCUUAACUCCGAAACUGCAUUCGAUACUGCCGUGCUUGAGGACUGGAGAGGAGACUGGAAUUUACGGUGUAGCGGUGAAAUGCGUAGAUAUCGUAAGGAAGACCAGUGGCGAAGGCGGGUCUCUGGACAGUUCCUGACGCUGAGGCACGAAGGUCAGGGGAGCAAACGGG